GAUGAACGCUGACAGAAUGCUUAACACAUGCAAGUCUUUGGCGAAGCUGUGCUCGCACAGCCUAGCCAAGGCGGACGGGUGAGUAACGCGUAAGGAACUUGCCCUGCAGUCAGGGAUAACAGACGGAAACGACUGAUAAGACCUGGUAAAGUCAGGCGGACUCAUGUCCAGCCUGAUGAAAAGAGAUGCUGCAGGAGAGCCUUGCGUCCUAUUAGCUUGUUGGUGGGGUAACGGCCCACCAAGGCGAUGAUAGGUAGCCGGCCUGAGAGGGUGGACGGCCACAAGGGGGCUGAGAUACGGCCCUUACUCCUACGGGAGGCAGCAGUGGGGAAUAUUGGACAAUGGGGGCAACCCUGAUCCAGCAAUUCUGUGUGCACGAUGAAGGUUUUCGGAUUGUAAAGUGCUUUCAGCAGGGAAGAAAAAAAUGACGGUACCUGCAGAAGAAGCGACGGCUAAAUACGUG
rnacentral:rRNA from 1 species